AAAAAGACAAACCCGUUUCCGUGUCCAACGUUUAACUGUUCGUCUUAUUUGAAAAAAUUAUGAAAAAAAAUUAAAAAGAUAAGUCACGCAUAAAAUAUUAAUCAUGUUUUAUCAUCUAACAACAAUGAAAAUAUGAAUUAUAAAAAAAUUUCAUAUAAGACGGACAGUUAAAAUUGGACACGCCUUUUU
rfam:Oryza nivara chromosome 1, whole genome shotgun sequence.